GUUAGGGUGGCAGAGCCCAGUAAUUGCGUAAAACUUAAACUUUUAUCCCC
rnacentral:tRNA from 1 species